UGAUGAUGGAACAAGGUAGGAAAAAAACACAUAAAAUGAGACUUGACAGAAUAAAUAUAUUAUAAAAGUGAAAUUUGAAGGUAAAGAGGACACAAUUUAAAUGUGUAAGAAAUUAGAAACUUCAUCUCUUCUGGUGAGUAGCUACUUGAAGCUCUGUUCCAACCUGGCAAAACCAGACAGUAAAUUAAAAACAAAAAGACUUGGGAUCCAGGAAAUAAGGCUUCAACCUAAGAAAACAAUUAGAACAUUUGAUAAAGUGUGAAGCCAAGCCAAGCCUUCACUCUGCCAGUCUGCAUGGCUGCAGGCUU
rnacentral:lncRNA from 1 species